AGCAGCCGCGGUAAUUCCAGCUCCAAUAGCGUAUAUUAAAGUUGUUGCAGUUAAAAAGCUCGUAGUUGAAUUUCGGGAUCAAGUCGUCGGUCGUGCUUAGGUACGUACUGGCGUCAUUGAUUUCUCCCUUCUGACGAACCAUGAUGUCAUUAAUUUGGUGUUAUGGGAAAUCAGGACUGUUACUUUGAAAAAAUUAGAGUGUUUAAAGCAGGCUCACGCUUGAAUACAUUAGCAUGGAAUAAUGAAAUAGGACGUUCGAUCCUAUUUUGUUGGUUUUAGGAUCAACGUAAUGAUUAAUAGGGAUAGUUGGGGGCAUUAGUAUUCAAUUGUCAGAGGUGAAAUUCUUGGAUUUAUUGAAGACUAACUACUGCGAAAGCAUUUGCCAAGGAUGUUUUCAUUAAUCAAGAACGAAAGUUAGGGGAUCGAAGACGAUCAGAUACCGUCGUAGUC
rnacentral:rRNA from 1 species